UUGGAGUCUGUGGACCAUGUCUUUAAAAAGUGUCCUACAUCAAUAGAAGUCUGGACCUGUUUAGGAGUAAUCUAGGUUUUGAAUAGGCCAGAUUUGGAGUACUUGGAUUGGCCUACUUGAGUUUUUGCGGAAAGCUCUCAACAUCAGAGUCGAAUGUUUGGAUGUGCUCUAUGGACUCUUUGGUCUGAAAGAAAUAAAACAGUACAUGAGAGAAAGCAAAAGUCUGGAAAGGAUAUCUCAGAUACUAUUGGCUGGUAUUUGAGGGAACUAGAUGAUACGGAGGUUAGGCAGUAUAUUAGGAGUAGAACGAAGGCCAAAUAGAGACCCCCAACUGGAUCGAUUGUUAAAAUCAAUUUUGAUGGUGCCUUUGAGAAAGAGAGCUUUAGAUCGUGCUCUGGCAUAGUAGCAAGAAACUCCCAUGGUGAGGUUCUGGUUUCACGAGCAGUUUUUCACCCGAAUGUUGGCUCGCCUUUUGCUGCGGAAGCCAUUGCAUGCUUAUGGACAGUGAAAACAAGUACAAAAAUAGGGUGGUCAAAGGUAAUAAUAGAAGGUAAUGCAUUAACUAUCAUUAAGAUAUGUCAAUCAGAUCAAAUAGAUAGAUCAGAGAUUGGGGUUCAUAUCAGAGAUAUUCAUCAGAUUUCACAACAGUUUGGAUGGAUUCGAUUCAAACACACAAACAAUGUAGCAAAUCAACUAGCCCAUGUUUUAGCUAAUAUGAGUCUAAAAAGAGAGGAACCAACUUAC
rnacentral:lncRNA from 1 species